GAAAUGCGAUAAGUAAUGUGAAUUGCAGAAUUCAGUGAAUCAUCGAAUCUUUGAACGCACCUUGCGCUCCUUGGUAUUCCUUGGAGCAUGCCUGUUUGAGUAUCAUGAAAUCUUCAAAGUAAAUCUUUUGUUAACUCAAUUGGUUUCUACUUUGGUAUUGGAGGUCUUUGCAGCUUCACACCUGCUCCUCUUUGUUCAUUAGCUGGAUCUCAGUGUUAUGCUUGGUUCCACUCGGCGUGAUAAGUUAUCUAUCGCUGAGGACACUGUAAAAUGUGGCCAAGGUAAAUGCAGAUGAACCGCUUCUAAUAGUCCAUUGACUUGGACAAUACUUUUAUGAUCUGAUCUCAAAUCAGGUAGGACUACCCGCUGAACUUAAGC
rnacentral:misc_RNA from 1 species